rnacentral:rRNA from 1 species
AUUGAACGCUGGCGGCAUGCCUUACACAUGCAAGUCGAACGGUAACGCGGGGCAACCUGGCGACGAGUGGCGAACGGGUGAGUAAUACAUCGGAACGUGCCCAGUAGUGGGGGAUAGCCCGGCGAAAGCCGGAUUAAUACCGCAUACGACCUACGGGUGAAAGCGGGGGAUCGCAAGACCUCGCGCUAUUGGAGCGGCCGAUGUCAGAUUAGCUAGUUGGUGGGGUAAAAGCCUACCAAGGCGACGAUCUGUAGCUGGUCUGAGAGGACGACCAGCCACACUGGGACUGAGACACGGCCCAGACUCCUACGGGAGGCAGCAGUGGGGGAAUUUUGGACAAUGGGGGCAACCCUGAUCCAGCCAUGCCGCGUGC